rnacentral:piRNA from 1 species
UCCAGUUUUGAAAGUUUCUCU